UACGUAGGGUGCGAGCGUUGUCCGGAAUUAUUGGGCGUAAAGAGCUCGUAGGCGGUCUGUCGCGUCUGCUGUGAAAUCCCGAGGCUCAACCUCGGGCUUGCAGUGGGUACGGGCAGGCUAGAGUGCGGUAGGGGAGAAUGGAACUCCUGGUGUAGCGGUGGAAUGCGCAGAUAUCAGGAAGAACACCAGUAGCGAAGGCGGCACUCUGGGCCGGUACUGACGCUGAGGAGCGAAAGCGUGGGGAGCGAACAGG
rnacentral:rRNA from 1 species